AUCCACUCAAGCCUGGCUUGGUAUUGGGCCGCCGGGGACCCCCCGCGCCUCCAUUUCGCCGGCUGGCCGUCGUUUGACUUAGCGUUGUGACACAUGUCGCUGACGACGAAGACGGACUGCGCCGUGAGAAUUUCCUUGAGUAUCGUCGAUAUUCAGUAAAGGUUGACCUCGGAUCGGGUAGGAAUACCCGCUGAACUUAA
rnacentral:misc_RNA from 1 species